GCCACGGUAGCCCAACUGGUAGGAGGCAGCGGCUUCAAACACCGCGCAGUGUCCGUUCGAAUCGGACCCGUGGCACCA
rnacentral:tRNA from 1 species